rnacentral:rRNA from 1 species
GAUGAACGCUGGCGGCGUGCCUAAUACAUGCAAGUCGAGCGAACAGACGAGGAGCUUGCUCCUCUGACGUUAGCGGCGGACGGGUGAGUAACACGUGGAUAACCUACCUAUAAGACUGGGAUAACUUCGGGAAACCGGAGCUAAUACCGGAUAAUAUAUUGAACCGCAUGGUUCAAUAGUGAAAGACGGUUUUGCUGUCACUUAUAGAUGGAUCCGCGCCGCAUUAGCUAGUUGGUAAGGUAACGGCUUACCAAGGCAACGAUGCGUAGCCGACCUGAGAGGGUGAUCCGCCACCCUGGAGCUGAGACACGGUCCAGACUCCUACGGGAGGCAGCAGUAGGGAAUCUUCCGCGAUGGACGAAAGCUUGACGGAGCAACGCCGCGUGAGUGAUGAAGGUCUUCGGAUCGUAAAACUCUGUUAUUAGGGAAGAACAAAUGUGUAAGUAACUAUGCACGUCUUGACGGUACCUAAUCAGAAAGCCACGGCUAACUACGUG